UGUGUAGGCGGUUGUUUAAGUUUGGUGUGAAAUCUCCCGGCUCAACUGGGAGGGUGCGCCGAAUACUGAACGGCUUGGAGUGCGGGAGAGGAAAGUGGAAUUCCUGGUGUAGCGGUGAAAUGCGUAGAUAUCAGGAGGAACACCGGUGGUGUAGACGGCUUUCUGGACCGUAACUGACGCUGAGACACGAAAGCGUGGGUAGCAAACAGGAUUAGAUACCCUGGUAGUCCACGCCCUAAACGAUGCAUAUUUGGUGUGGGCAGUUCAUUCUGUCCGUGCCGGAGCUAACGCGUUAAAUAUGCCGCCUGGGGAGUACAGUCGCAAGGCUGAA
rnacentral:rRNA from 1 species